GACGAACGCUGGCGGCGUGCUUAACACAUGCAAGUCGAACGGAAAGGCCUGCUUUCCCUUGUGGAUUGCGGGUACUCGAGUGGCGAACGGGUGAGUAACACGUGAGUGAUCUGCCCCCAACUUGGGUAUAAGCCUGGGAAACUGGGUCUAAUUCCCGAUAGGACUGCAGGGUGGUGCCUGUGGUGGAAAACGAUUUUCUAGUGGUUGGGGAUGAGCUCGCGGCCUAUCAGCUUGUUGGUGGGGUAAUGGCCUACCAAGGCGGCGACGGGUAGCCGGCCUGGGAGGGUGGACGGGCACAUUGGGACUGAGAUACGGCCCAGACUCCUACGGGAGGCAGCAGUGGGGAAUAUUGCACAAUGGGCGGAAGCCUGAUGCAGCGACGCCGAGUGGGGGAUGACGGCCUUCGGGUGGUAAACUCCUUUCGACCGCGAGGAAGCCACCUGGUUGGAAGGGUGGUGACGGUAGUGGUAGAAGAAGCACCGGCUAACUACGUG
rnacentral:rRNA from 1 species